GACGAACGCUGGCGGCGUGCUUAACACAUGCAAGUCGAACGGAAAGGCCCUGCUUUUGUGGGGUGCUCGAGUGGCGAACGGGUGAGUAACACGUGAGUAACCUGCCCUUGACUUUGGGAUAACUUCAGGAAACUGGGGCUAAUACCGGAUAGGAGCUCCUGCUGCAUGGUGGGGGUUGGAAAGUUUCGGCGGUUGGGGAUGGACUCGCGGCUUAUCAGCUUGUUGGUGGGGUAGUGGCUUACCAAGGCUUUGACGGGUAGCCGGCCUGAGAGGGUGACCGGCCACAUGGGAAUGGGGUAAGGGCCAGACUCCCAACGGGGGGAAGAGGGGGGAAUAUUUGCCAAAGGGGCGAAGGCUGAGUGCAGCACCCCCGGGUGGGGAAUGACGGCCUCGGGUUGUAAACCGCUUUCGCCUGUGACGAAGCGUGAGUGACGGUAAUGGGUAAAGAAGCACCGGCUAACUACGUG
rnacentral:rRNA from 1 species